rnacentral:rRNA from 1 species
AAAAACAUUUCCUCUUGGUAUAAGAGGUAAGGCCUGCUCACUGACUAGGUUGAAGAGCCGCAGUAUAUUGACUGUGCUAAGGUAGCAUAAUCAUUAGUCCUUUAAUUGGGGACUGGUAUGAAUGGCUAAACGAGAAAUUAGCUUUCUUUGUUAUGGUUUGUUGAAUUUAACUUGUAAGUGAAAAGGCUUACAUGAUUCAGAAAGACGAGAAGACCCUAUAGAGUUUUACAAAGGCCUAAAAUACAGCUUAUUAGUUUUUAAGGGUUAUAUUUUGGAAAUUUGUUUGGUUGGGGCGACAUAAAGAUAAAAAAAACUCUUUGUAGUAUAAACUUUGGUGGAAGAAAAGGUUUGAUCCUCUAAAAGGGAUUAUAAGAAAAAAUUACCUUAGGGAUAACAGCGUAAUCUUCUUUUAGAGUUCAAAUCGACAAGAAGGUUUGCGACCUCGAUGUUGGACUAAAAUUUGGGCAAGGUGUAGCAGCUUUGUUUUUGGGUCUGUUCGACCCGUAAUAUUUUACAUGAUCUGAGUU